AAACAUAGGGGGCAAGCGUUGUCCGGAAUCACUGGGCGUAAAGGGCGCGUAGGCGGUCUGUUAAGUCGGAUGUGAAAUGUAAGGGCUCAACCCUUAACGUGCAUCUGAUACUGGCAGACUUGAGUGCGGAAGAGGCAAGUGGAAUUCCUAGUGUAGCGGUGAAAUGCGUAGAUAUUAGGAGGAACACCAGUGGCGAAGGCGGCUUUCUGGACUGAUACUGACACUGAGGCACGAAAGCGUGGGGAGC
rnacentral:rRNA from 1 species